CGCGCAGGCGGUCGUUCAAGUCGAGUGUGAAAGCCCCCGGCUCAACUGGGGAGGGUCACUCGAUACUGAUCGACUCGAAGGCAGGAGAGGGAAGUGGAAUUCCCGGUGUAGUGGUGAAAUGCGUAGAUAUCGGGAGGAACACCAGUGGCGAAGGCGACUUCCUGGCCUGUUCUUGACGCUGAGGCGCGAAAGCUAGGGGGGCAAACG
rnacentral:rRNA from 1 species